AUACAUGACAGUCGAGCGGACCGACGGGAGCUUGCUCCCUUAGGUCAGCGGCGGCCGUGAAAGUAACACGUGGGUAACCUGCCUGUAAGACUGGGACCUCAUAAAAAAACCGGGGCUAAUACCGGAUGCUUGAUUGAACCGCAUGGUUCAAUCAUGAAAGGCGGCUUCGGCUGCCGUUCUCGAUAAACCCGCGGCGCAUUAGCUAGUUGGUGAGGUAACGGCUCACCAAGGCGACGAUGCGUAGCCGACCUGAGAGGGUGAUCGGCCACACUGGGACUGAGACACGGCCCAGACUCCUACGGGAGGCAGCAGUAGGGAAUCUUCCGCAAUGGACGAAGAGUCUGACGGAGCAACGCCGCGUGAGUGAUGAAGGUUUUCGGAUCGUAAAGCUCUGUUGUUAGG
rnacentral:rRNA from 1 species